GGAGUAACACGUGAGGAACCUACCCCGGACUCAGGGAUAACGGCUGGAAACGGCUGCUAAUACCUGAUGCCGUCGGAGCAUCACAUGGUGCACUGACGAAAGAAUCUCGGUUCGGGAGGGGUUCGCGGCCUAUCAGCUAGUUGGUGCGGUAACGGCGCACCAAGGCGACGACGGGUAGCUGGUCUGAGAGGAUGGCCAGCCACAUUGGGACUGAGAUACGGCCCAG
rnacentral:rRNA from 1 species